CAAAUGUGACAGGGCUAAGUCGAUACCAAACUUACAAGUUCUUGGACCUGUACAGAAGAUGUGUGGUGACUGCAGUCUGUUAUUAACAUGGGAUGAGUUCUUCAAUGGAUAAUUUAGGGGCCUGUUUUGCACAAGAGGCACUAUUUUACCUGUAUUUCUCGCAUUAUCCAGCUGGUGUCACUUAAGUCCCUUUUUUUGUUUCAAUCAAGCAGCUUCCCCAACAUGACCAAGAUUGUGAAACAAUAUCCCUUUUGCUAAUAAUUCUGUAGAUGUGGGAAGAAUUGUUAAUACAAGGGCUGACUCAUCAAUGGAAAUGUGCUGACCUAAGUGAGAUUAUUAUUAUUUUUUUCCUGAUUGUUAUGUAAGGCUGAAACAUUAAAAUAUUUUAAUCAGA